rnacentral:rRNA from 1 species
GAGAACGCUGGCGGCGUGCCUCAAACAUGCAAGUCGAGCGGGGCUAUAGUAAUAUCGCAAGGUAGAACAUAGCCUAGCGGCGAACGGGUGAGUAACACGUGGGUAACCUGCCUGGAAGACAGGGAUAACGAUUCGAAAGGGUCGCUAAUACCUGAUAAUAUCCUUUCAUCGCAUGGUGAUAGGAAGAAAGGGGAAACCCGCUUUCAGAUGGGCCCGCGUCCCAUCAGCUAGUUGGUAAGGUAAAGGCUUACCAAGGCGACGACGGGUAGCCGGUCUGAGAGGAUGUACGGCCACACUGGGACUGAGAUACGGCCCAGACUCCUACGGGAGGCAGCAGUUGGGAAUCUUAGGCAAUGGACGAAAGUCUGACCUAGCGACGCCGCGUGAGGGAAGAAGGCCUUCGGGUUGUAAACCUCUGUCAUGGGGGAACGAAGGAAGUGACGGUACCCCAAGAGGAAGCCCCUGCUUAACUACGUG